CGAUGAACCACACUCCGGGUGGGGAAGAGUGGCGAACGGGUGAGUAACACGUGGGCAAUCUGCCCUGCACUCUGGGAUAACUCCGGGAAACCGGAGCUAAUACCGGAUACGACUCUCCAGGGCAUCCUGGGGGGUGGAAAGCUCCGGCGGUGCAGGAUGAGCCCGCGGCCUAUCAGCUGGUUGGUGGGGUAACGGCCCACCAAGGCGACGACGGGUAGCCGGCCUGAGAGGGCGACCGGCCACACUGGGACUGAGACACGGCCCAGACUCCUACGGGAGGCAGCAGUGGGGAAUAUUGCACAAUGGGCGCAAGCCUGAUGCAGCGACGCCGCGUGAGGGAUGACGGCCUUCGGGUUGUAAACCUCUUUCAGCAGGGAAGAAGCGCAAGUGACGGUACCUGCAGAAGAAGCACCGGCUAACUACGUGCCAGCAGCCGCGGUAAUACGUAGGGUGCGAGCGUUGUCCGGAAUUAUUGGGCGUAAAGAGCUCGUAGGCGGCCUGUCGCGUCGGAUGUGAAAGCCCGGGGCUUAACCCCGGGUCUGCAUUCGAUACGGGCAGGCUAGAGUUCGGUAGGGGAGAUCGGAAUUCCUGGUGUAGCGGUGAAAUGCGCAGAUAUCAGGAGGAACACCGGUGGCGAAGGCGGAUCUCUGGGCCGAUACUGACGCUGAGGAGCGAAAGCGUGGGGAGCGAACAGGAUUAGAUACCCUGGUAGUCCACGCCGUAAACGUUGGGCACUAGGUGUGGGCGGCAUUCCACGUCGUCCGUGCCGCAGCUAACGCAUUAAGUGCCCCGCCUGGGGAGUAC
rnacentral:rRNA from 1 species